CCAAACCAGACCCCCGGGGGAUUACAUUUCAUAGCUGCACAAAGGUGUGCGAAUCCCUUGGAAUGUGUUGUCAACAAAAGGAGAAAAAUAUCACAGUUUGUGCAAGUAUGGGAUAGAGCCAAAGAAGAAAAAUAACAAUCCCACGUACUUACCUUCAGUACUUCUGGUUUCACAAAAUGGCCACUCCACAACAAUUCUGCUUCCCACUCCCAUGGAUGACGUCACUUCUGGUCCUACCGUGAUGACGUCACUUCUGGCUCCCCACCGAUGACAUCACUUCCAGUUCCACAAUGAUGACAUCACUUCUGCCUUUCUGUAUUGAUAUAAUUUCUUGCCAAAUCACUUCCUAUCACCAUUUUUGUAUAUAAAUCCUCCUUUCAACACUGUAUUCUGUCAGAUGCUUUGGUUUUUGAUCAUAUUUCUUUCAGAUCUUCAUCAUAUCUAACAGACAUUAUGCAGGGCAAUUUUAUCAACUUUUUUUGAAGUUUUCUGAAUGAAAUUAUUUAUUACACUAGCUACAAUAACAAAAAUGGCACCACAAAUGACAAAGCAUGAGGCAAUUACGACAGAUGCCCAGAAUGCUUUAACAACAGACACAUUUAUGACAUACAAUAAAUCACUAGUAUUUUACACAUUCAAUAUUAUGAUUUAUUAUUUCUCUGCAUUACUUUGCUCAGAUAAACACAAGCUGUAUCUAUCCUCUUGCACACUGAAUGGCCUGGUACCAGACCAAGUGAGCGUUUAAAAAAAUUUUUGCCAUAUCAUAGACUUGAACUAUGCCACUCACCGACCCAAUCAAAACCUCAUUUAC